UCUGGUCUUGACAUCCACGGAAUCCUGCAGAGAUGCGGGAGUGCCGCAAGGAACCGUGAGACAGGUGCUGCAUGGCUGUCGUCAGCUCGUGUCGUGAGAUGUUGGGUUAAGUCCCGCAACGAGCGCAACCCUUGUCAUUAGUUGCUACGAAGGGGCACUCUAAUGAGACUGCCGGUGACAAACCGGAGGAAGGUGGGGAUGACGUCAAGUCCUCAUGGCCCUUAUGGGUAGGGCUUCACACGUCAUACAAUGGUCGGUACGAAGGGCUGCCAACCCGCGAGGGGGAGCUAAUCCUUUAAAACCGAUCGUAGUCCGGAUUGUAGUCUGCAACUCGACUGCAUGAAGUCGGAAUCGCUAGUAAUCGCGGAUCAGAAUGUCGCGGUGAAUACGUUCCCGGGUCUUGUACACACGCAAUC
rnacentral:rRNA from 1 species